rnacentral:rRNA from 1 species
AACGAACGCUGGCGGCAGGCUUAACACAUGCAAGUCGAACGCGCCCUUCAGGGCGAGUGGCAGACGGGUGAGUAACGCGUGGGAACCUACCUUUUGGUACGGAAUAACUCAGGGAAACUUGAGCUAAUACCGUAUAAGCCCCUCGGGGGAAAGAUUUAUCGCCAAAGGAUGGGCCCGCGUCGGAUUAGCUAGUUGGUGGGGUAAUGGCCUACCAAGGCGACGAUCCGUAGCUGGUCUGAGAGGAUGAUCAGCCACACUGGGACUGAGACACGGCCCAGACUCCUACGGGAGGCAGCAGUGGGGAAUAUUGGACAAUGGGGGCAACCCUGAUCCAGCCAUGCCGCGUGAGUGAUGAAGGCCUUAGGGUUGUAAGGCUCUUUCGCCGGUGAAGAUAAUGACGGUAACCGGAGAAGAAGCCCCGGCUAACUUCGUGCCAGCCGCCGCAGUAAGAC